rnacentral:rRNA from 1 species
GAUGAACGCUGGCGGCGUGCCUAAUACAUGCAAGUCGAGCGAAUGGAUUAAGAGCUUGCUCUUAUGAAGUUAGCGGCGGACGGGUGAGUAACACGUGGGUAACCUGCCCAUAAGACUGGGAUAACUCCGGGAAACCGGGGCUAAUACCGGAUAACAUUUUGAACCGCAUGGUUCGAAAUUGAAAGGCGGCUUCGACUGGCACUUACUGAUGGACCCUGCUCGCAUUAGCUAGGUGGUGAGGUAACGGCUCACCAAGGCAACGAUGCGUAGCCGACCUGAGAGGGUGAUCGGCCACACUGGGACUGAGACACGGCCCAGACUCCUACGGGAGGCAGCAGUAGGGAAUCUUCCGCAAUGGACGAAAGUCUGACGGAGCAACGCCGCGUGAGUGAUGAAGGCUUUCGGGUCGUAAAACUCUGUUGUUAGGGAAGAACAAGGGCUAGUUGAAUAAGCUGGCACCUUGACGGUACCUAACCAGAAAGCCACGGCUAACUACGUGCCAGCCGCCGCAGUAA